GUGAUUUUUAUCACUUUCAGAUGUCAUUAUACUUGAUCCAACUAUGCCACGUCACCACUGUGCUGCGUCCCCCCUGUGCUGGGUUUUUUGUUAACUAUUUUUGUCGAUUAAAUUCAAUUCAAGGAUUAGUUAAUACUGGAGCGUCAUUUAUUCUGGUUUCGUUAUACAGCACAGUGUACAACUUUACGUUUGAAUAUAUAAUCGGAGCAGUAUUUUUGAUGAACGUUAUACUUACAUUACCACUUUUAUUCAUAUUUCUGACACUAUUUUAUAAAUGCAAGCACAUAUGGUCAGAAGAGAAAAAUAUUGCUUAUACAUAAUUUGAAAUACAUUUAUUUUGAAUUCGAUCAUGAGAUAAUUUAUAAUUUUAUGUUAUUUUUUUUUAUUAAAUUUAAUAUAUAUAAAGAUGUUAAAUUAUUUUCAGUUGUUAAGUAUUUUAUUAUUUGAAUAUACUACUUUAUUUCUUGCUUAAAUAAAAGUAAAAAAUACAUAUAUUUUAA